GCUGGAAUGUGUCCAGAAAGCUUGUUCUCGUGCAAGAAUAACUGUUUGAGGUUAGUCAGCUGGGAAAGUGAACUCGGUAUUGAGCCCGUCAGUUUGUUGGAGUAAAGGUCAAGAAGCUCGAGAUUUUUAAAUUGGCCCAAAAAAGAAGGUAUUGGGCCUGAGACACUGGUCCCGGAGAUUGUAAGAUACUUGAGGUUUUUGAGCUUGGAAAUGGUGGAAGGGAUUUGACCUGUGACAUUGGGUAAUUGGUUGAAUUCGAGUCUUUCGACAUAAGAGAGGUCGCCAACUGAAGGGGAUAUAUGACCUAUGAAUUCUGGGUUUGGGAAUGGGGUGGUGAAUUGGUCUGGGCUUGAGAAUUGGAUAGCGAGC
rnacentral:lncRNA from 1 species